CGUUGCAGCUUUAACCAGCAGUAGGCUGAGUAUAGAACACGGUGCAGGUUAAUAUUAGUUACCGGUGAGGCUAUCUGCAUCCGACACUUCGUUAAAGGAUGAUGCAGGUGGAAACGUUUUAUCCGUUUCAAUGAUCUGACUGAGUGAGAGUGUGUGGGGGUGUGGGGUGUGAGAGACAGAGAGACUGCAAGAUAAAUAAUGUUUGAGGAAGAGAGAGAUUUGUGAGAGAAAGUGAACGAGUGAGAGUGAGUAAAAAGCGAGAGAGAGAGAGAGCGACAGAGAGAGAGAGAGGCAGAGAGCGAGAGAGACACAGUGAGAGAGAGGCAGAGAGAGAGAGUGUGUGUGUGUGAGAGAGAGAGAAAGAGAGAGUCAAAGAGAGAGCGAGAGAAGAUGAGGAGACUCCUCCAGGACUCUCCUCUGUGUUGCGUGGUGAAACUCUGGUCUCAGUCCGGCCUGGAGUUCUCUCUUCUCUAAGACCUUCCUGCUCCUCUCAGCUGGUUUCCUCUUCAUGAAGACCACUGACAUCGGUGAUGUGAUGAAUAAAUUUGAAGUCCUUGGCAUUGUAGGUGAAGGAGCCUAUGGAGUGGUUCUGAAGUGCAGGCACAAGGUAAGACCAUGACAGCAUCAGUGUCACACAGUUGAUUCUUCAGGAAGUCUUAUGUGAAAUGCACAGUAACAUUUUACCCUUC